AUUGUCUGUGAAUGAAAUUUUAUGUACUCCAUCAACUUCGAAUUUACUAAUGACUUCUGCACCAUCGCCUCAGCCUGUGAUUACUGUCUGCAGGCUCACUCCGGUGAUCUUAUUGAUUCAUUUAUAAAAAAAUCUCAAAUUUUAAUGUUGAGUGAAACUUGGUUAUAUGAUAAUGAGUCUAUUAGUAUACCAAAUUUAAAAUGUAUAAUUCAAUACAAAUGAUCAAAUGUUAAAGCUGGAGAAUUUGCUAUCUGUCACAAUGCGAAUGAAACAACUAACAUUGUGACCAUGACUAUCGACAUGACUGUGAGGCAGUCCGACUUUGUUAGUUCAGCGAUAUCAUCAGUGGGUAAAUUUUGUAUAGCAGAGUGUAAAACAGAAGAUGGUUACAGAA
rnacentral:lncRNA from 1 species